UCACUUCAGCAGUAUGUAUAAUCAAACUGAAAUGAUACAGAGAAGAUCAGUAGGGUCCCAGUGUAGGGAUGGCAUGCAUAUUUGUUAAAUGUUCUAUAUAUUU